GCCAUUCUUGCUUAUUUACAAAUACAAAUAGUCCCUUUCUUCUUUUGCUCUUUUCAAAAUAGCCCAGAAUUUGGCUUAAAAAAGUAUUUUCAUGCAAAAUCCAGCAUUUAACUUUUGUAUACACUCCUUGUGAUAGCAGCCAUGUUGCCAAAAUAUCACCCGGUUAAUGAAUAACUUCCGGUACUUUCAUUGUAUUCGCAUUGACCAAUCAAAUCACGUUCUGAGUUGGAUUAUCCCAGGGCUUCUGAGAGCAACAAGCGCAGAAGCCCUGGGUACGAGGUUG